rnacentral:rRNA from 1 species
CCAGCAGCCGCGGUAAUUCCAGCUCUAAUAGCGUAUAUUAAUGUUGUUGCAGUUAAAAAGCUCGUAGUUGGAUUUUGGUGUUCGACAAAUGGUCUGCUUCGGUUUGUACUGUUUGUUGGCGCUUCUUUUCUGGGGAACUCACUGCUCUUAACUGAGGGGUGUUGUAACGCAGAUCGUUUACUUUGAAAAAAUUAGAGUGUUCAAAGCAGGCCAACGCAUUUUGAAUACAUUAGCAUGGAAUAAUGGAAUAGGACUUUGGUCUUAUUUUGUUGGUUUCUAAGGCCGAGGUAAUGAUUAAUAGGGAUAGUUGGGGGCGUUUAUAUUCCGUUGUCAGAGGUGAAAUU